GGUACAGUGGGAUGCAGUGGUCUGCUUCACAUAUCUCAGAGCACAUGUGGAGCCUGGGCUGGCCAAAGCAAGCCCUAGAUCUCAGUCACCAACUGCUCUGACCUGACUCUGGUUUCACUCUGUGAAACAGGCUGGGCAUCUUUGGGCAGCCUCUCCUGCCCCUGGGGCAGAGGAAGUCUAGACUGAGCAGAGGCUUGGAUGAGGCUGACUACAGGACACGUCUGUCUGGAUGGCUGCUAACCUCCUCCCUGCUGUUUCUCUGCAGGAGUCCUGCUGGCGAGCUGUGAGCCUGGAGUGAGGCCUCAGAGAGGGAUCCUAAGGCAAUGUUCUGGUUCUUUUGAGUCUGUGGGCUGCAAAACUCUCAGGGUUCUGACCAGUCCAGGCCUGACCAGUCUUGAGCGGAUUCCUGCCCCCACCUAGUUACAGGACCUCCUUGUGCUUCAGGACUCGGUCAAGCACUGGACCAAUUACGUGUAUGCGGAGACUGAGCCCUGAAGGCUGCUGUAUCCUCAGGCCUUUGGCAGCCCCUCUGCUUGGCUCCCUGUGCCAUCUGACCCAGGAGUCACGUGA
rnacentral:lncRNA from 1 species